rnacentral:rRNA from 1 species
GACAGAGGGUGCAAACGUUGUUCGGAAUUACUGGGCGUAAAGCGCGUGUAGGCGGCUUAGCAAGUCGGGCGUGAAAGCCCUCGGCUCAACCGAGGAAGUGCACCCGAAACUGCUGAGCUUGAGUGCCGGAGAGGAUGGCGGAAUACCCCAAGUAGAGGUGAAAUUCGUAGAUAUGGGGUGGAACACCGGUGGCGAAGGCGGCCAUCUGGACGGUAACUGACGCUGAGACGCGAAAGCGUGGGGAGCAAACAGG